GACAGAGAGACAUGGGGACGUGCUAGCACUCGCUAACAUCCAGUACAGCUCGUGGGGCUUCAACUGCCCUACAAAGCAAAAAGGAGGUAAACCUACAGAGUGUAGAAUUGAGAAAAAAAGACUGUAAAGUUAUCCUGUCGUCCAGCAUAAGUAGGUGUAGGUAGAUUAUUGCAUAUGUCAAUUUUGUUACUUUAUAUUUCCCUAUUCUUUGUAUGUAUUGAUUCUCAUAUUUAAUAUGAAAAUUUACCCAUAUUUUAGUUACUGUAUUAUCUGCAUUUCUGUAUUUUCUUCGCAGAGUUGUGAUAUUUUAUUUUGUGUUCUUUCAGAACCACAAGAUCGCUCUUUUCGUUUCUGUCAGUUGGCUGUAGCCUACAUCUUCGAUAUCCAACCUGAACAGUUAUUAGAUGUGGAAAUGCAAAGGCUGCAGCCUGUCAUUUUCAGAUCGAGCUGAGCUACUAAAGCAUUAUCGCACUGACCACCAGUUUCACGGUAGGUCUCGCCCUUACCCAUGCAUCCAUGCAAGUUGUCCCUGUUCGUCCAAGACAUGGAAUGGUCUUCAGAAACACCUUACUAGGAGUCAUCCUUCUCAGACAUCCACACCCAAGCUCUCUUCAUUCAAGUGCUACGUUUGUGACUACAAUCAGCUUUCCACGGAGUAUGACUUUUUUCUUCAUAUCAAUCAACAUUUGAAAAAAAACGAGAUAGAGCUGGGAAUUCAAAAACGUUCCUGUUCUCCACAUUCCAUAGUCAUGCUUUUUCACUAUCCCUGCAGGAUGCUGAUGCCGAUAUCAGAAGGGAGUGUGUCCUCAAACUUCUCAUCAUCUAUCUGGGAGAAUGUGUUGAAGACCUGAUCAAAGAAUACAUGAUGUCCGAGAAAGAUGAAGCCGAGCAAGAGCUGAGGAGGACCACCAUGGCGGUCUUCGUAUUAAGAGAGAGCUCGAGCCUUCUACAACAGCCCAAAGAAAGUAGGAUCAUCAUCGAUGGUGUGGAAGUCCUCAGUGAGUUGCCUGCUGUGGCAACAGGAGUGGUCAUGCUUUUUGGACUCUGUUAUGCUCUCAACAUGGAAUAUCCACAGGGGUUCAGGUUCACCUUUGAGGCUCUUCAGAAGAUCCUGAUGGAGCUUGGUUCAAACAAGAUGAGCUCCAAGAUUCGCAAACUGAAUGUUGAACUCCACACUGCACAGUAGUGUGGCAUGUGUACACAUGCUUGUGUGUGUUUCUGGCAUCCAGUGUGUACAUCUUUGCCUGUGUGUGUGCGAGCCAAAACUUUACAAGGGGUAGAACCUCGGGGGCACUUUGUUGCACCUAGCCAUGGGUGCUAUAGCCAUUUAAGGCUAAUAUUGUUGGGCUUUAAGUGACUGUUUUGAAUUUGUUAGUUUGUGGGUCAGCACUGCAUUCAG